UCCCUGGAGGAUUAGUGGUUAGGCCAUAGCGCUCUCACCACUGUGGCCUGGGUUCAAUUCCUGGCCAGGGCU
rnacentral:tRNA from 1 species